rnacentral:misc_RNA from 2 species
AACGCACAUUGCGCCCUUCGGUUAUUCCUUAGGGCAUGCCUGUUCGAGCGUCAUUUCAACCUUCAAGCCCCGCUUGGUGUUGGGCGCUGUCCCGCCUCUGCGCGAGGACUCGCCCCAAAUGAAUUGGCAGUCGCACCCCCGAUACGCGAGCGCAGCAAAGUCGCGCGAGCCGAACCGGCAGGGACGGACGCUCCACGAGACCCACCACAGUCUUGACCUCGGAUCAGGUAGGGAUACCCGCUGAACUUAA